GGGAAUUACUGGAACUGGGGCUGGAGCUCAGGGAUAGAGUGCUUGUUUAGCCCCUGCAGAGGCCCUGGAGUCAAUCCUCAGCACAUUAAAAAAAAAAAAAAAAAAGGGACAGGAAGGGGCACUAACUGUUCAAUUCCAUUUGGUGAAAGUGGUCUUAGUUGUACCUCCGUCUCCUUGUGUACCUAUGAAUAACAAUUUCUUGCAUUCUAAAAACUGUUCUGCUUGGAUGAUAAAUUAUAUUGGUGUCCUACUUUGACACCAUAUGUCCUGGGGUUGGGGACUUGGUGGAGAGUGCUUGCUUAGCACACGCAAAGCCCUGAGUUUAGUCCUUGACCCUGGGAAAAGAAAAACAAAUAAAAACCCACCCUAUGUCCCAACGUCAGAUUUCUUUUUAGAAAAUAUAUUUAUGGAGGUGUCAACUAAUUGCUGUAUGAUCCGUAUGCUGUAAGUAUAGGCUGGAGUCGGCUUUCUGUGGCCGUGUAGGCCUCACCAUAAUCCAGCUUCAGUGCACUCCCGCUGCCCAGGUUUCCUCACCUGUUAGCUCCCUCCCCAGUCCCAGGCAACCUCUGAUCUACUUUGUUGUAUAGUCGAAUCUUCCCCUGCCUUUCUGACAGGUAAGCCCCUGGAGACAGCAAUGUUUGCAGAGGGACUAAGAUGAUCUCAAC
rnacentral:lncRNA from 1 species